rnacentral:tRNA from 1 species
AUUUAUAUAGUAUAAAAGUAUAUAUGACUUCCAAUCAUAAGGUUUAUUAAUAUAAUAAUAAUAUAAAUA